ACGAAUGAUCGACACUGCUUCCUGGAUACCAUAUUGCACCAAUGUUGAUGGGAGACCAACGCUGCGAGACUAGUCGCGUUUUCAGUGCAGGACUGAGUCAAGAGAUGCACCGGCUCAUCAUCCUGCCACUGAUUCUUCUGCUUCGUCUGCUUCUCUGUCUUCUUCUGCAACGAUGGGAUCAUGCUCCGUGCGCCGCAAGCCUGUUUGUCUGCACCGCGUCGCUUUGCCGUCACGCCUUCUCCUGCGUCUGCGGCAUCGACCUCGGAGCCUCACCCCAAGCCCGAAUCCCCAGAUCAGAUCAGAUCCUCUCAACACCCACAGCCUCUCAUACUCAUGCCCUGAUUGAUGGAUGCCUAAUUCUCAUCUCAUGACGAUUUCGUAUGGUAUUCUGCAGAUUCACUAUUGGUUCAGUUACACACAAGAAGAAGAUUUAGACUGGGAUUGGUACACAGACACUAUGCGAUGAGGUUGUUUGUUGGCUGAAUCAGCAUAUAGACAAGAUUUUGGGCCCAGUUUUGCUUAAUUCUACAAGACGUGUUUCCCAUUUGGCAUGAAAUUAUGGCAAUACGGGCAACACAAAAGCCAAGGGCCACACCAGGUGCAAGUGAAGGGGGGAAGGUUGUGGUGCGAACAGUUAACGGAGGUUGACCAUGUGAUGUCGAGGAGGUACGCCUGAGGGUGGCAUUGCACGGGCUUGUCUGGAAUAUGCGUCACAGAAAAAAGGGGCAGGGAAUGCUCCAGAAGGUGAUGACGAGAACUUCAUUUUGAACUAUUUCCUUUCGAUGGAUUGAGUGGAGAGCGAGAAGCAGCGGCUGAUGCUGAACUUGCGUUCAUGUUACCAUAUCAAAAAAAGUUUGGAUUUUCAAGGCUUCCUGAGCGCUCACUCUAUUUAGUUUGCUACUGCUAAUGGUAACCUCGAAAUCAGAUCUUGUUAUAAAACAACAUGGAUGUACUAGAUAUUGAACUACAAUCUAUUGUAAGUGAUACUCACAGUCUUCUAGAGUUGGAGCUCUGAAACCAUGAAGGAAUCUUAUUGCUUUGAGACUGGAGGGAAUAAAGUAAUUUAUUGAAACAA